UACGGGGGGAGCAAGCGUUGUUCGGAUUACUGGCGUAAAGGGCGCGUAGGCGGUCAGCACAAGUCAGUUGUGAAAUCUCCGGGCUUAACUCGGAAAGGUCAACUGAUACUGUGCGACUAGAGUGCAGAAGGGGCAACUGGAAUUCUCGGUGUAGCGGUGAAAUGCGUAGGAUAAUCGAGAGGAACACCUGCGGCGAAGGCGGGAUU
rnacentral:rRNA from 1 species